CUCCGCUCCCCGCCUGACCCCUUUCGCCCCCAGCCAUCAAAGUGAAGGCUCCUCGGACUUUACAAGCCGGAGGACGGACUGGUCGGGACUGUCAGCUGCUCCGGGUCAAGGUCUAGCCCACCGCCACCCUCCCGUGCCACCCCCAUCCCAUCAUCUCCAAACGCUCCCAACUCCCUGGUGAGCGCUGCGGGCCGGGGGCUGGAUGCGGGGACGGCCGCGAUGGCCCCGCGCGCGGGACAGCGGGGGCUCUGGAGCCCGCUGCCAGGGCUGCUGCUCUUGGCGGCGGCGCUGAGCCGGCCCGCCGCGCCCUGUCCCUUCCAGUGUUACUGCUUCGGCAGUCCCCGGCUGCUGUUGCGCUGCGCGUCGGGCGCGGAGCUCCGGCAGCCGCCCCGGGACGUGCCACCCGACGCGCGCAACCUCACCAUCGUGGGCGCCAACCUGACCGUGCUGCGCGCGGCCGC
rnacentral:lncRNA from 1 species